GUUCUAUCUUCAUCUCUUUAAGCUGAAAAGACACAAGCAAAACUACCAAGCUGUGUGUGUGUGCGCGCACAUAGGUAGAGCUGACUCACAUGUCAGGAAGGAAGCUCAUCCUGAGACGUCAGAAGCUGAGGAUAAUCUAGUCCUACCCUUGCUGCUGGGAGGCAAAAAAGGAAUGGAGCCUUCAAGAGCUGAAUGAUAUGCUGUUGUGGAGGUAGACCAGAUGUGCCCACCCAUGCACAUUUCACGGACGUCUGGGCUGUUUGCACCUUUUGGCUACAGGGAAUACUGCUGUACUGACAUGGAAUUGCAUGUAUCCUUGAAAACACAAGGGCACCCACUUCUGCUGCUUUAAAAUCAAGAUUGCACUGGAGCUCCUGGUAAUUGCAGGAAGAGAAGAGAAGUAAGAGCCACUUCUUUGGCGUCCCGGGGCUGCCAUAACAAAGCACCACAAACUUGGUGGUUUACAACAGCAGAAAUGCAUGUUCUCACAGCUCCAAAGUCCAGAAGCCUGAAAUUGAGGUGUCAGGAUGGCCAGGCUCCCUCUGAAUCAGAGAUUCCCCAUCUUACUCAUACCUGUGGCCACAGAAGGUGUGCCGACACAGAGGUGGCUCUCAGGGCUGUAGCACCCAUCAGCUGAAGUGACUUCCAAGGAAUCUAAAGACACUGAGACUGUUUAUUUGUUUCAAUUUAUUUGUUUUUGAGGCACCUGGGUGACUCAGUCUGUUAAGUGUCUGCCUUUGGCUCAGGUCAUGAUCUCAGGGUCUUGGGAUCCAGCCCCGCAUCAG